ACGGGUGAGUAAUACAUCGGAACGUGUCCUGUAGUGGGGGAUAACUAGUCGAAAGAUUAGCUAAUACCGCAUACGACCUGAGGGUGAAAGUGGGGGACCGCAAGGCCUCAUGCUAUAGGAGCGGCCGAUGUCUGAUUAGCUAGUUGGUGGGGUAAAGGCCCACCAAGGCGACGAUCAGUAGCUGGUCUGAGAGGACGAUCAGCCACACUGGGACUGAGACACGGCCCAGACUCCUACGGGAGGCAGCAGUGGGGAAUUUUGGACAAUGGGCGAAAGCCUGAUCCAGCAAUGCCGCGUGUGUGAAGAAGGCCUUCGGGUUGUAAAGCACUUUUGUCCGGAAAGAAAUGGCUCUGGUUAAUACCUGGGGUCGAUGACGGUACCGGAAGAAUAAGGACCGGCUAACUACGUGCCAGCAGCCGCGGUAAUACGUAGGGUCCAAGCGUUAAUCGGAAUUACUGGGCGUAAAGCGUGCGCAGGCGGUUGUGCAAGACCGAUGUGAAAUCCCCGAGCUUAACUUGGGAAUUGCAUUGGUGACUGCACGGCUAGAGUGUGUCAGAGGGGGGUAGAAUUCCACGUGUAG
rnacentral:rRNA from 1 species